AAAAAAAAAAAAAAGAAAAAAGAAAAAAAAAUUUCAUAUAUUUAUACAAAUAUACUUAACCACCUAAGGUAAAACUAAAAGUGUAUGUAGGCAAACGUCUUAUCAACGUCUUAUUUCCUUUGUAAUUAAAAAAAUGUAAGUAUAAACAUGAAAUCUGUACAAUUUUUAUUCCAUUAGGGUUCUACUUACAGCAUUCUUCCUACAGAAAGGGUUUAUUUCUCUGUAAGACUUAGGUAGAUUCACAUUGCUCUAAUUCCCAGAAAUUGCAAACUUCUUUAGAGUUUGUGGGAACUGAGCUGUAAUUUCCUGGCUCCCUGGGUACCUUUCCUGGGAGUUUGGUGAAGUCUUUGUCUUUCUGAGCUUGUAUAGGGAUGGUGGAGUUAACUGGCUGUGUAUUCAGGUGGUAAGUGCAAGCUGAGCACAGGGCCAGAUGAAUGGGGAUCUUUCAGUGCUCUGUGAUUUGAAAGGGAUUCUAGAUGAACUGCGUUUCUGUCUCCUAAGAUGUCAGAAGUAAAGGUUCCUCCCUUCCCUGUGAUCCUUUUGGUACUUAGAGCAGGUAAGGUAAACCCAUUGUCUUAGGGUUUCUGUUGCUUUUGUGAAGCAUCAUGACCAUAAAAAACUUGGAGAGGAAAGGGUUUAUGUUAGCUUAGAGUUCCACGUCAUAGUAGUCCAUCACUGGCAAUGGUCAGGGCAGGAACUCAAAACAGGGCGUGAAGGCAGCUGUGCAGAGGCCAUGCUGGAGUGCUGUGGACUGGCUUGCCCUUAGGGUUUGCUCAACCUGGUUUCUUAAAGAACACAGGACCAUCUGCCUUGCUUGCUUUAAAUAGAAUUUGGUAAUUAGAAAAACUGUGAUUUUUGAAGUUGUUAGUUUCUUGGAGCUGGAAAGAUAGAUCUGUUUAAGAAUGCUAGCUGCUCUUCCAGAGGACCUGGGCUUAAUUCCCAGCACCCACAUGGCAGCUCCAUGUGGUAACUCCAGGUCCAGUGAAUCUAACACAUUCACACAGACACACUUGUAGGCAAAACACCAGUGCACAUAAAAUGAAAAUGAAUGAUUUAAAAAUUUUAAAAAGAACAUGUAAGUUUCUCUCUGUACUGUGUGGCUGUAAGGAAGCAGAUGUGAGGUCACCCUGUGGUUGCCUUUGCUCUAGUGUUCCUUGCUUCAUUUCUGUCUCCUCCCAUUGUCCCCAUUUUCUUGUAAGAGAAAACAGUCCAGAAAUUGUAACAGUCAUACUGCAGGAAAGUUCUAGAAUUCUUCACCAGAGUCCCCUGCAUGCUACAGAUUCUGACAGUAAGCAUUGCUUGGGGUGCCUGCGGUUGAUAGGUGAAAACAAAGGGUAUAUUUUGCUCUGUUUUCUUCUGGGGUUGUGUAGUUCAGAGAACCAAAGGGUUUCCUUUGGUUGAUAGACUACUGCAGGCAUUGUCCUUAGCAGGCAGUCCUUUAAGAGUCCAUCUCUGCUAGUUUAUAUUCAUUGAUAACGAAAAAGCCGAUUCCAGUCCCCCUUCUUCCCCCAAAAGGAUUAUCAGGUGACAUAGGGACAUUUUUUCCUGGGCUGUCUUUUGGCAUUACCUGUUUUCUAGAAGUCCAUCUUCUUGUUCCAGACCCCUUCCCGCUUACCACUGUCUUAUGUUAUCCUACCAUCCCUUAUCAUGGAGGCUUAUAGAUGCUUUGGCCUUUUCUGUUUCAGUUUGAUUUAAAUACGAGUUAAAGUGACUUUGUAAUUAAACUUGUCUAUGAGGGUUUAUUUGGCAAUCAGAUUGCCUCUAUGGUGACUGGAUUUCAGUUCUCUGUGUAGCAUCUCGUUCUCACCAGGAAGCCGUUCUGGUAAGGGUGGUAGUGUGGGCCUUUUAUCCCAGCACCAUGGAGGCCAAAGCAGAGAAUUAUGGCUUCAGGGUAUAAGGAGACCCUUGUCUCAGCUCCCCCCAUCCCCAAAUAAACACCAAACAGAAAAAUCAGAUCCACUCCUACCCACUUUGCUUAAGACAGGGUCUUAACUCUGUAGCCCAGGCUGGCCCAGGACUUGUUUUGUGGUCCACACUAACCUUGUACUUGGAAACUUCCUGCCUCUUCCUCCCAAACUGAAGGAGGGCUUGUGUCACUGUGAUCAGCUAUAAUACUUAAAAAAGGACAACCUGGGCACAACACCAGGGAACCCCAGAAGAACAAAGCAAAGCAAACACACACUUUGUUUUCUACUUGAGGAACAUAUUUUUAGUAGCUGGUAAUACUCUGAAGGUAUUUUUUUUUCAGAGUUUCUGUUAUGAAAGC
rnacentral:lncRNA from 1 species